rnacentral:rRNA from 1 species
GUGCGUAGGCGGCCUUUUAAGUUUGUUGUGAAAUCUCCUGGCUUAACCGGGAGGGUGCGGCGAAUACUGAAAGGCUAGAGUAUGGGAGAGGAAAGUGGAAUUCCUGGUGUAGCGGUGAAAUGCGUAGAUAUCAGGAGGAACACCUGUGGUGUAGACGGCUUUCUGGACCAUAACUGACGCUGAGGCACGAAAGCGUGGGUAGCAAACAGGAUUAGAUACCCUGGUAGUCCACGCCCUAAACGAUGCAUAUUUGGUGUGGGCCAUUCAUUUGGUCUGUGCCGGAGCUAACGCGUUAAAUAUGCCGCCUGGGGAGUACAGUCGCAAGGCUGAAACUCAAAGGAAUUGACGGGGGCCCGCACAAGCGGUGGAGCAUGUGGUUUAAUUCGACGCAACGCGAAGAACCUUACCUGGGCUCGAAAUGCUAUGGACCAGCUGGUGAAAGCCGGCCUUCCCGCAAGGGACUGUAGUAUAGGUGCUGCAUGGCUGUCGUCAGCUCGUGUCGUGAGAUGUUGGGUUAAGUCCCGCAACGAGCGCAACCCUUGUCCUGUGUU